rnacentral:misc_RNA from 1 species
AUACUCAGCAGCUUUUCAAACAGAAAAGGAUUUCAAGAGAUCUUAUGUUCCAAGGAGAUUAGUGAUUGGCAAAGAUGAGUAUGUCCUUUCUUCAUAGUUAUUGGCUGCCUUGGUUUGCUUGGUGAUUGCAGUUAAUGCAGGAGAAUUUGUGAACUAGAGUUUUGCAGAGCUAUAUAUAUGUCAUUUUAAUUACUAAGAAACUUGAGUAAUGAAUUCUGCUAUUGGCAGAUAUGUUCGAAUUG